UUGGAUUUCAUUCAAAAUAAAAUAGAGCCCAAAGAUCAAUAAAGGCCCAAAAUAUACAACAAAAAAAUGUCUUAAACAAAAGAAGAAAGUUCAAAAGAGACCAAAAAACAAGAAAAAUAGAAAAAAAAGAAUAUGAAAAGACGAAAAACCAAAGGACUAAGCAGAUAAACAUCACUCAACAAAGUAACAAAUGAAACCAUAAAAAGCAACAAAAACCCAACCACCGAAGCAGACUAUCCAGAUUCCAAAGCAUCUAAAACACAGAGCUCUUCAGAUGAUCAUAUUGAAACAAAGAAAAACCUCUACAAAUCCGCUAAAAAACCAUAAAAACUUGAAGGGGCCCUGCCCAAUUCAAUGAAAAAUUCCUCACAAACACCAAACCUGAAAGAGACCCUUAAGUUGAAACUUCGAUUUCUUGACCAAAGAAGCUGAAUCUUCGCCAUAAGGUCACAAGGAGCACAAAUGUCGCAGAUCUGCCUCAAUUGCCUUCUGCGCAAAGAGAGGAAACCCUCCAAAAAGAUAAGUAUCAUAUCUUUUUAAUCCCUCUCUAGCCAAAUAGUAUGCUGCAUCAUUUGCAUGUUUUAGUACAUAAUGGAAAACACAUUUUUGAUAUCGUUCAUGUAGCAAGCCUAAUUUGCCCGGCCCGCUAUAAAACAAAAAAAUAAUAAACCAAAUAAAAAAAACAAUACCCAGGACCAACCAAAACCCUAAGACCCAACAAAAACAAAGCCUAAUGGCCCAAAAUGCUUAUGCAUUUUCAACAAACCCUAGGCCCAACCCAUUUUGGGUGCCGCUUCAGCAAACAGCGCGCCUCCCCCGCACGCCGGACGCUACUACCCCGCGAUGUGCGCUACUCCACCACGCCACGUCAAUGGCAUGUUCGCCCACAUUCCUGCAAAUAUGCAAAAAUAAGGUGUAAAAAGGGCUAUAAAAAGCCUUCAAAAAUCCAUUGUAAUGAUCUUUUUUUUUGGAUACUAAUAGAUCAAUAAAAAACAACAGUUUCAACCACAAAUCAAGAAUCAAAUAGCAGAGCAGAAUCAAAAAGAGAAAUAAGGAAAACGUAGGUUACGGUUUUUUUAGUUUUUAUUUCUUAUUAUUUAUUUAUAUAUUUUUUCUUUAUUUUUCCUUCAAAAAUAUAUAUAUACAAAUAAAAAAAAAGAAUUUACCUUUUGGGCGUCGGGCACCGUCCACGGCGGCGUUGAAGGCGGCGGACGGCGCCGGAGGACGACCGAAUUCUAGAAAAGGGGGAGAGGAUUUUUGAGGAAAAAAAAAGAAGUCUUUCAAUUUUUU
rnacentral:lncRNA from 1 species